rnacentral:lncRNA from 1 species
CUUUAUUUUCUUUUCUAGUGGGGAAUAGGAACCUACUGCAAUCCGAGGGUCUUCAGAACACUUAGCCCAGGCCAGU